AAGUGUGAGCAAUGAAGGAGGGUGUGGACAGAUAGGACUACAGUAGGCACUAAACAGAAUUCUGUCUAAACGGGCAGUCAUUGACAAAUUAUCAAUUCCUGAUAGAAGUGCGCCAUCGCGGCUUCGAGCAUCCAAGCAUCAAACAUAACAAUGUGUGUUUGCUCAACCUUGGAUGAUGUUGGAGAAAGUAGAAUGGGUGCUUCUAAAAUCGAUGGUUAAUUAACGGCAAAUUAAAUCAAACGCAAAACUGAUAUUGGUAAACCUGUGGACGUGUUCUUGGUAAUUGUGAGGAUGAACAAAGGAACUUGGAGAUACCUGUAAAACAGAAACGGGUACUGUGGCCAGCUUCCUUCGACAGAGACGUGGUAGCUCAGCUAGAUUAAAAUAAAGAGUUGAUAGUUCUCGGUAAUGUUGCAAGGAAUGUCUCGGAGGCACAACCGUAAAGGAUAUGCAACAAGACUAAUCAGUAUAAACAGAUUAAAUACGACACGGAAAUACUGCAGUAAAACAAAUAUUGUGACUGGGACCAGAUGACGGUAAAUGGCUUUUCUUCCAAUAUGAUGGCGGACUCGAUCCUGAUAGCUUGCGAAAUUGGUAUUUAUUGUAUCAAGCACACAACACCGUUUGCCAUUGGAAUAUGUAUUCUAAGCAUAACGUCAUUGUGCAGGAGAUAUCUGAACUUGAUCACAGUGAAAAAAUUCUGUGCUGUCAUAUGCCGUUGCCGAUAUUUCAAGCACUGAAUUAAUUCUUAGCUAAACGAAGAUAGAACUAAGUUAGCUAAAUGAAUAAGCUUACUAUUGGAACAUCUGGUUAACAUUACCUUGCUCGGGUUCAGGCACUGGCAUCAAAGAAAAUUGAAUGAAUAGGCACUGGCACAGGCGUAGUUUCGCUGAUUUGGUGAAAAGAAAAUAAUACAACUCCAACAAGAACUUUGUUCUAAUACGACAUGCACUUGUAAAGAGAACUUAACCAUUUAAAAUUUGAAAUGAAGUAGUGAUAUAAUGCAUCUUGUAAGAUUUGCUUCCAGUAACCAUUUUUACUUAAUUAUUGAUAUUAUAGUUAGUUACCUUCAACACAGAUUUCCAUUGAAAAAUACUAUUUACUUGUAUCACAGAAAGAAAUUAUUGUACAUAAACAUUUAAUGAAAUCGUAUACAUUUUUACAAAUUAGAAUUUAAAAAAAUAUUGUUCACACCGAAUGAUGGCAUAUAAAAGAGGUACAAUAAUCAAAACGAUUGGAUAAAUAUAAAUUUAAAAAAAAACCAUUUGCUUUGUGUAAGCAUUUAAAUUCUCCCGUUUUCAUUGGAUAAGCAAUUAAAAUUCAAUUUUCAUUGGUUAAAAAAUUCAAUACGACAUCUUUUCGAAAGCAGAUCAGAUCAGUUCAUUUAAUUUCAAG
rnacentral:lncRNA from 1 species